CCCCCGGCAGAGCUGGGAGUGACACUGACAAGCAAUCGGCCGCGUCCAGAGCAGCAGGCGGCAUCCGGGGGGAGCGGGGCCGGCUGGGGGGCCCCAGGAGGGCUUCCUGGAACCCCAGCUCCAUGGCCGCCUGCACCCUGACACAGGCCAGAUAAGAGUCCCGGCUGCAUUAUCAGAGCCCGGCAGGGCACCGGCCUCACUGCACCAGAAGGAAGACUGGGGGCACAGCAGGUCCUCAAGGCGAUCUUCCCAGAGAGCGGGACCCGCGGCUGGUGGCCAGAGUGGAUGGAUUUUGCCGAGCCCUAGCUCAAGUCCGGGAGUCCCGGGCCAGAUGGGGGCAGACGCCUGCUGGCGGCAAUAGAGAAAGUGAGGCAGCUGCAAGGAGGGCGGCGGGACUGCACUUGAGUGUCCAGACCUGCUCGAUGGUGACCGCCAUGUCAGUGAGGUUGCGGUUCCUGUCCCCUGGGGACACAGGGGCUGUGGGGCUUGUGGGCCGGAGCGCCUCCUUUGCAGGCUUCAGCAGCGCACAGAGCCGGAGGAUUGCAAAGUCCAUCAACAGAACCUCAGAGAUCGCGAAUGCCUGCAAAAAUCGUUGCACGGCAC